rnacentral:rRNA from 1 species
GAUGAACGCUGGCGGCGUGCUUAACACAUGCAAGUCGAACGAAGCUCUUUUGUGGAUCCCUUCGGGGUGAAGGAAAGGAUGACUGAGUGGCGGACGGGUGAGUAACGCGUGGGAAACCUGCCCUAUACAGGGGGAUAACAGCCGGAAACGGCUGCUAAUACCGCAUAAGCGCACAGUAUCGCAUGGUACGGUGUGAAAAGCCUUAACGGUAUAGGAUGGUCCCGCGUCUGAUUAGCCAGUUGGCGGGGUAACGGCCCACCAAAGCGACGAUCAGUAGCCGACCUGAGAGGGUGACCGGCCACAUUGGGACUGAGACACGGCCCAAACUCC